UCUCUCUCUCUCUCCCUCCCUCCCUCCCUCUCUUUCUUUCUCUCUCUUUCUCUCUCUGUGUCUGUCUCUCUUUCUCUCUGUCUCUUUUUCUCUCUCACUGUCUUUCUUUCUCUCUCGCACGCGCGAUCGAGAGAAGAAACGCGCGCGUUUUUCGUCACGUUUGAGAAAAAAAUCUUUUCCGAUUUCGUAUCAUCAUCCAUCGUCGAUCCAAUAACGAUCGAAUCGAUUUUUAGUCUUAUGUUAAAAGUUUUCUUUUGCUUUUUUUUUUUUCUCUCCCCUUCCCCUUCUUUCUUCUUUUUCUCCCGCUUUUUCUCGCCCAUUCCUCGCCAGCUCAAUCAUCACACAAACGCACACACGCGCAUGCACACACGCUUUUUUUACAUUUUGUUCUUUACUUUCGUUCUCCUUCGUUUUUUGUCUUCUUCUUCUUCUUUUUAUUUUUCCUUUCUUUCCUUCUAUCUCUCGUUUUUGAAAUAUAUAUAAAGGUAUAAAAGGUAUAUUAUUAUAGAAGGUUUAGCCACGUUUAAGUUGGGAUAUAUGAAGUUGAUAUUAUAGUGAAUUAGAGUUUGUUGUCGAACAAGACCGAAGAUAUCAUUUUUUUUUUCUUUUUUUUUUUUUUUUCUUUUCAUUUGUGAUCCUGUGAAAUUAAUUACGGUGCUCUACGAUCAAGUCUUUCACAGAUUCGAAGCAGCGACGGAAUUCGCAUAGUGACGAUAAAAUUAAAACAACGAGUGUGUCCUUUGAAUUGAAUUUCCAGUAGAGUGAUUCAGCUGUACACCUGUUCGCGUUUGAUAUCCUUCGGAGAAGGGAAAAAAGAAAAAGAAAAAAGGACAUAACGAUGAUGGGACCGUUCUUCGUGAUUAAGUGCCAGAGAAAGGGACGAUGAUAAUCAUUUUAAUAAUAAAUGUCUGCCUGUCGAAGGACUAUCGAACGACGACGCUUGAUCAUUGAAAAGGACAUCGAACAUGAGUAUUAAUAAAUGUAUUCUCGUCUACGAUCUAUC